GAGGUGGGAGGCGUGGAAUUAGCUUAGGGUUCCGCCAUUGGGAGGCUUAAAGGAGACGAGUAUGGUUAAUUGAUUUUGACAGUACCAGCCUGUUUGGGACAGCUCUUUUUAAAAAAAAUUCAGCUCCGCUUUAAAAAAUAUUCGCCCUUGUCUAUACGGAUCAGGGACUUAGCUAACGCGUGGAACACUCCGCAUGGAGAGUACGUUCGCAAGAUGAAACUUAAAAGAAUUGACGGGCCCUGCACAAGCGGUGGAGCAUGUGGUUUAAUUCCAUACAACGCACAAAACCUUACCCGCAUUUGACAUAUGAACAACAAAACUUGUCCUUAACAGGAUGAUACUUACUUUUAUACAGGUGUUGCAUGGUUGUCGUCAGUUCAUGUCGUGAGAUGUUUGGUCAAGUCAUAUAACGAGCAAAAUCCUCGUUUUGUGUUGCUGAGGCAUACGCCUAAGAAGAAAUUGCCACCGAAGUGAACCAAGGAGCCGAGUGACGUAGUUGUACUUUCAGCAAGAAUUUCACCAUUAGGAGCCGGUGCCUUUCGAAGCACUUUCACAUGAGAACUGAAGUCGUCUUGCCCAAGACCCAUGGAGACCUACCUAUAGUGAUGUCAAAGGACGAGUGAGCAUGGAGGUUUGGUUGAAAUUGGUUACGACGACGUCGAGUUGGCGGCGGAGGAAGACUCGG
rnacentral:ncRNA from 1 species